rnacentral:tRNA from 3 species
GCCGGAGUGGCGAAAUUGGUAUACGCACCAGACUCAAAAUCUGGCGAGGGCAACUUCAUGUCGGUUCGAGUCCGACCUCCGGCACCA